rnacentral:tRNA from 2 species
GCACUAAUAGUUUAGUGGCAGAAUAGCAGCUUCCCAAGCUGUUGGUCCGGGUUCGAUUCCCGGUUGGUGCA